CCGCCCAGAGCCCGCCUCCCUGCCAGAGGCGUUGUGAGAGGGCGGGGGUCACGCCGGGGCCCGGCCUGGCCGGCUCGGCAGGUUCCACGCUGCCCUUGGCCCGCAGCCGGACUCGCCUCAGGCAGCCCGGACCGGAGCCUCCUGCCGAGCUGCCCGCGCUGAGCCGGGCAGGCCCCGCGCUCGGCCGAGAGCCCCUGUGCUGCCGAGUGAAGCCUCGUGCUCCUGCCAAACGCGACCAGCUGGGCCUGCCGGGGAGCCGUGCUCUUGUGCUGCGAGCACAUCGCUCCCCUCCCAUCUGACCCGGGGCGAUGUGCGGUGGUUUGGUGGUUUGGGGUGUUUCAUAGAUAAUGUUCCUGAUACUCUGCUGUACCUUUGUCUGAGUAAAUAAAUUCAUAAAAAGCUUGCUAGCAUAGUGUUUUGGCAGUGUUGAAUGGUGAUGUCACAUGCUGCUGUAACCUGAAUUGCAGCAGUUCCUUAUGCCACCAAAUGGGGAGAAGGGAGGUACUAAUUCCUGAACUCUCUUCAGUUCUAAUGUUUAUGCAAAGUACAGCACAGAGAGUAAUACAAAAUCCUUGUUAAAGGGGAAGGAGGGAGAGAAAGGGGAAAGCCCUCUUUGUGGCUUUGCAGCAGUUUCAUAACUUGAAGGUCUGUUUGUCGUUCUUAGUGCCUGAAUGGAGGCGCUUUGCAUUCUAAUGUGUAAAGUUCUAAGGCUGAAUGUGCAGUGUGAGAGGAGGGACUAGAGAAGAUGUUAUUUGUCAUAGAAACUGUUAGAAAAUGCAUUUUAAAUUCUUAAGAUGACGUGGGGAAAAAUAAGCAUUUAUUCAGCAGUAUUCUUUAUUGUUGCACUCAGGGGAGCUGGGUUGUUGCUGUCCUUGGAGCUCAUG